rnacentral:rRNA from 1 species
GUCGAGCGGUAGCACAGAGAGCUUGCUCUCGGGUGACGAGCGGCGGACGGGUGAGUAAUGUCUGGGAAACUGCCUGAUGGAGGGGGAUAACUACUGGAAACGGUAGCUAAUACCGCAUAAUGUCGCAAGACCAAAGUGGGGGACCUUCGGGCCUCAUGCCAUCAGAUGUGCCCAGAUGGGAUUAGCUAGUAGGUGGGGUAACGGCUCACCUAGGCGACGAUCCCUAGCUGGUCUGAGAGGAUGACCAGCCACACUGGAACUGAGACACGGUCCAGACUCCUACGGGAGGCAGCAGUGGGGAAUAUUGCACAAUGGGCGCAAGCCUGAUGCAGCCAUGCCGCGUGUGUGAAGAAGGCCUUCGGGUUGUAAAGCACUUUCAGCGGGGAGGAAGGCGUUGAGGUUAAUAACCUUGGCGAUUGACGUUACCCGCAGAAGAAGCACCGGCUAUCUCCGUUGCAGGCAAGCUCGGUAAUUUGAGGAGUUGCAAGCGUCAAUUCGGAAUUACUAGUACUUAAAGCGCAAGCAGGCGGUCGUCAAGUCGGAUGUGAAAUCCCCGGCUCAACCUGGGAACUGCAUCAGCAACUGGCAGGACUAGAGUCUUGUAGAGGGGAGGUAGAACUUCAAGGUGUAGCGGUGAAAUGCGUAGAGAUCUGGAGGAAUACCGGUGGCGAAGGCGGCCCCCUGGACAAAGACUGACGAUCAGGUGCGAAAGCGUGGGGAGCAAAACAGGAUUAGAUACCCUUGGUAGUCCACGCCGUAAACGAUGUCGAUUUGGAGGUUGUGCCCUUGAGGCGUGGCUUCCGGAGCUAACGCGUUAAAUCGACCGCCUGGGGAGUACGGCCGCAAGGUUAAAACUCAAAUGAAUUGACGGGGGCCCGCACAAGCGGUGGAGCAUGUGGUUUAAUUCGAUGCAACGCGAAGAACCUUACCUGGUCUUGACAUCCACAGAACUUUCCAGAGAUGGAUUGGUGCCUUCGGGAACUGUGAGACAGGUGCUGCAUGGCUGUCGUCAGCUCGUGUUGUGAAAUGUUGGGUUAAGUCCCGCAACGAGCGCAACCCUUAUCCUUUGUUGCCAGCGGUUCGGCCGGGAACUCAAAGGAGACUGCCAGUGAUAAACUGGAGGAAGGUGGGGAUGACGUCAAGUCAUCAUGGCCCUUACGACCAGGGCUACACACGUGCUACAAUGGCAUAUACAAAGAGAAGCGACCUCGCGAGAGCAAGCGGACCUCAUAAAGUAUGUCGUAGUCCGGAUUGGAGUCUGCAACUCGACUCCAUGAAGUCGGAAUCGCUAGUAAUCGUAGAUCAGAAUGCUACGGUGAAUACGUUCCCGGGCCUUGUACACACCGCCCGUCACACCAUGGGAGUGGGUUGCAAAAGAAGUAGGUAGCUUAACCUUCGGGAGGGCGCUACCACUUGAUCAUCCCUU